rnacentral:lncRNA from 1 species
CCAGAAAAUGUAAAAACAAAAAACUAAAAAAUGUAUAUACAUGCAUACAAAAAAAUAUCGUGCAAGUCCUCUGACUGACAAAAAAAAAUCGAACAGUGUCAGGAAGCUGAAAAAAAAUAUCGAGCAAACUGAAAAUCUACCCACCCCCCCAUCAAAAAUCAAAUGGUCCGUCCCUAGAACAUUGUAAUUGCCUGACAGAGACUGUUAGGGCCUGUUUGUAUGGAAGCCGGGCUGGCCCGCUUAGCAAGACAGCCCGGUAAGGUAGGUAAGCAGGAUGAUUUCUCUUGUGUUUAUUUGAGAAAAUUUCAUUCCGCUUACCAGGACAAUUUUGUUGUUUUGACAUUAUUUUGACAGUUGUUAAAAAUAGCUUGCGGCAGUAUCUUUGAACUUUCAUCCCGGCAACCGGGCUAGCCUGCUUAUGAUUGUUUAUGUGGAGAAAUUUCCAUCCUGGUCUUGGCAACCGGGCCUGCCCGCUUGUCCAUAGAAAUGAUAAUUUGUACUAUAAAAAUAACUAGACAGCGAGAUCUCACUUAGGGACCGGUCAUUUAUUAGAGGGGGGGGGCUGGUGCAAAUGGGGAGGGGGUCAUACCUUUUUGUGCACUUGAAAAUGGGGGGUUGCAUAAAAUUCUGCAACCAUUUUUGGGGGGUCAUACAUUUUUGUGCAUUCCAUUUUCCUAUAUAUUCUACAAAAGAAAACAGCACUGAAGGGAUCAACCACAGUCAAAUUUUUAAUAUUUAUAUGAAAACAAAAGAAUGUAGUGACAACUACAAGCAUAGGCGUACGGGACGGGGGGGGGGCAGCUGCCCCCCCCCAAAAAAAGAUUACAAAGUCGAAAAGUUGGGCAAAUGUUCAACAAAAGUCGGGCAAACCAAGCGAGUUGAGCAAUAUUCUCUUCACAGUCGUGCAAUAUUGGGUUAUUAUAAAAAUAAAUGGGAUAGAUUCUGCGAAUUUUGCGGGAAAUAAUGUAAAUUUUGCAAUGUUUGGGGGGAGGUCGCUUAUUAUUGUUCCGGAAAAAAAUUAAUAAAUAUUGUAACUGAGGGUGGGCCAUGCCAUUUCAUGUGCACUCCCUUGGGGGGCCACAUUAUUUUAUGCAGUGACAGGAGCAGGGCCACAUGAAAUUAUGUUGAGGAAAAUGAAAAUCCACCAGCCCCCCCCCCCUCUAAUAAAUGACCGGUCCCUUACCGGGCUGUCUCACUUAGCGGGCCAGCCAGUUUCGAUAUAAACAGGCCCUUACACAACUGCUAAAAGCUGCAAGUUUCUUUAAAGCAAUAUCAUCUAUAUCACAGAAUACAGUUUCUGUAGUGACAUACUUCGUGUUUUUUUCUGUCUUUAAAGUGUCUUAUGUUUGUAAUAUUUUUGUACAAUACCUUUUUGAAAUUGUUGAUACUGGUCUCAUUGUAACUCAGUAGUCUCAGUUAUUCCUUCUCAAGAAAAAUACAAAAACAAAGCUGUGUGGGUGUGUUUUUGCUCUAGCUAGUUUUUACAUUUACAUGGUUCAUGUACAAUUAAUGUACAUUUAAAUUAGCUUUGUUCAAUGAAUACAGGUGUGAUUCAAAUAUCAUUCCUGUCAGGUACUUGGGUCAAAUAGACAUAAGCAUACUAAAUCAUGCUGUGAAUUGAAAUACAAGUAUAGGGUGUAUAUUGUUUAAUAAAUAUAUUUUCCAGUUAACCCAGUAAGCUGCAUUGUGCCCCAAUGCACCCUACUUUACUAGUUUAUUUCACUUCAUCUAAUGCCAGA